GAAUUCACUAGUGAUUCAGGCCUAACACAUGCAAGUCGAGCGGGGUUUUCGGACCUAGAAAAAGACGGGUGAGUAAUGCGUAGGAAGCUACCCGAUAGAGGGGGAUACCAGUUGGAAACGACUGUUAAUACCGCAUAAUGUCUACGGACCAAAGUGUGGGACCUUCGGGCCACAUGCUAUCGGAUGCGCCUACGUGGGAUUAGCUAGUUGGUGAGAUAAUGGCUCACCAAGGCGACGAUCUCUAGCUGGUUUGAGAGGAUGAUCAGCCACACUGGAAUUGAGGGACGGUCCAGACUCCUACGGGAGGCAGCAGUGGGGAAUAUUGGACAAUGGGCGCAAGCCAGAUCCU
rnacentral:rRNA from 1 species